CUCGGUCCUCGGUAGUGGCCUUCGGAGCACGAGCUCCGCGGGCCUCGAUCGAAGACCGGG
rfam:Auraticoccus monumenti strain MON 2.2 genome assembly, chromosome: I